AAACCCAGACCAUACAAUAUCUCAGCAGCACGUUUUUCAGCUGUAGAUGCAUCUAUAGCCUCCAAACGUUCAUAUAUACGUUCAAGAGUCUCUCCACCUCCAUCCUCCUGUGUACCUAAGAUUUCAGCUUCCUUCUCCAAUUUCACCCUCUCCUCAUCACAGCUAAUGACAGCCUGAAGAGCAGACAUGUCAGAAGCUUCAAUUUCUCUGGUGAGGUGAUAUAUAUCCAUGUGUUCUGGAAUUGGAAGCUCACGGCAACCUAUUG
rnacentral:misc_RNA from 1 species